rnacentral:tRNA from 1 species
GCCUGGGUGGCUCAGUCGGUUAAGCAUCUGACUUCAACUCAGGUCAUGAUCUCAGUUUGUGAGUUCGAGUCCCACAUUGGGCU